GAGGACUUGAAGCUCGCAAACUGCCAAGAAGCUUCGGGAACCGAGGGAAGCGUCGGGAAGCAACAGCUGGGAGAGCUAGGCGUCGAGAAACCUGGAGGCGGAUAUCCAUGACUGACAUCGUGUUUGGGGGGGCAGAAUGUCAAGCCCACCAACAUGUCCUGCCAUUGUGCUGGAGAGACUCAAGAAGAUGUAAAAGAACAAUUGGAUGUGUAGCUACUACCUGAAGCUGAACAUCAAGAUCACCCUCUUGGUUAUAAGGUGGAUCUAUCUUAUUUUUAAGGGGGCAGGAUGUCAGAAUCCAAUU